rnacentral:misc_RNA from 1 species
UCAAACUUGGUCAUUUAGAGGAAGUAAAAGUCGUAACAAGGUCUCCGUUGGUGAACCAGCGGAGGGAUCAUUACCGAGUUUACAAACUCCCAAACCCCAUGUGAACAUACCGUUUCUCCGUUGCUUCGGCGGUGCCGCCCCGGGCGCGGGCCUCUCGUUAGGCCGCCAGCCCCGGAACCAGGCGCCCGCCGGGGGACCUAAAGCUCUAUGUUGUCCUAGCGGCUUCUUCUGAGUUGCGCUCUCUGAGCGUCAAAAAACAAAAUGAAUCAAAACUUUCAACAACGGAUCUCUUGGCUCUGGCAUCGAUGAAGAACGCAGC